GUACAGGGUAGUCUAGUGGACACGGCAUCUGCCCGGUAAGCAGAAGUCUGUAGGUGCGAUUUCUAUCCCUGGACA